GAAGCCGUAUGAGCAGUGGCUGAGGUCACAUGAUGUGUUCAGCCAAAAGAAGACAAGACUAAGAGAAGACCUCAUUGCAGAUGUUAGACACCAGAUCAAUUAUUAUUGGGUUAGAACCACCUUUGGGAGGAGGACGGAGGGGUGUAGAGGAGGAACAGAUAGGUCAAACCUCACAGAGGUGAGGUGGCAGGCCCCUGGAACCCACAUGGACAAGGCCCAGAGUAGCUGUCAGUCACAAACAGCCCAGGAAAACUAUAACACACCACACUUCCUGGAGCUCCUCACCCAGUCUCAGAUUGGCAGGGACAGCAAAAACACUGCCCUUCACCCUGGCCUGGAACCCCAGAGUGGCUGCUCUUUCACAGCUCUCCGUUGGACCUUAUCAAAGAACAUGCUGGCUGGAGGGCAUCAGCAGCACUGAUCACUCAAAGGGAAACAGAACAGCUGUGUUCCUGACAGCUGGAGCAAGCAUGACGUCCAUCAGCAAAUAACAGGAAUAUCUGAAACUGUUCUCCUUAGCAGGGUGCCCCUGAAUCCAGUUAUGUUGUAAAUAAGGGUUCUUAGCCACUGCCAAGUCCAACCAUUAUUUUUUCAGUAGAUAAUAAACAUUUCUUUUUA